rnacentral:ncRNA from 1 species
GACGCAGUGCGCAGUAAUGAUCCUCAGCCAAAGGGGUCAACCGGGUAAAAAGCCAGGCCUGAAAGCCAAAGUGGAGCGAAAAGUGGGGCUAGUGCCUGGAGCAGCACUUCCAAGUAGCUUCAGUGCAACCACCUAGUAGCACACCGGGAGUUCGAGUGGCACUCCUAGGUCACCGAUCGGGGAUCGAUGACUAUAUGUGGUCGUUCCUUACGUCCGCAAACCGGGUCUCUGACCCACAGGUAAACCGCCUGUUAAGGUACCCCUAGGAAGCGUGGAUGGUUCGUCUUGAAGCGCUGAGGGGCGCGUCAUCGCACUUGGCCGUCUGUGACUUGGCGCAGCGGUAACUUCUGUGUUGGUUCCAUGAAUGUGGGAUCUCGCCAAUGCAGAGACAGUGCAGUGUGGAAAGUGGGAGGCCUGACGCGCAUGAAUGGAUUAACGAGAUUCCCACUGUCCCUAACUACUAUCUAGCGAAACCACAGCCAAGGGAACGGGCUUGGCAAAAAUAGCGGGGAAAGAAGACCCUGUUGAGCUUGACUAGUUUGACAUUGUGAAGAGUCAUGAGAGGUAUAGCAUAGGUGGGUUCGGUCGACAAUGAAAUACCACCACUUUCAUCGAUUCUUUACUUAUUCGGUGAGAAGAGGAUUGAGCUUCGGCUCUUUGUUCUUAGUGUUAAGCAUAGCCACCUGGUGGCUGUGCGACUCUCGCCGAAGACAGUGUCAGGCGGGGAGUUUGACUGGGCGGUACAUCUGUCAAACUGUUACGCAGGCAGGUGUCCUAAGGCUAGCUCAGAGAGGACGGAAACCUCUCGUAGUUUCCGUCGAUAGGCCACGCUCUCGUGUCCUAAGGCUAGCUCAGAGAGGACGGAAACCUCUCGUAGAGCAAAAGGGCAAAAGCUCGCUUGAUCUUGACUUUCAGUACGAGUACAGACCGCGAAAGC